GCAGUGGGAUCAUAUGAAGAUAAAAUAUUCCUCAAAAGAGCACGUUUGCACCAGCGGCAGUCAGAAAGAAUAAAGCGGGAAAAGGCACAGGCGAGAAGGGGAGACGAUGUAGCGCCUCAAGUUCAACCUGAUUCCUUGGUUCCAGUUGCUAGAUUUCGUGGUUCUCGUCUUGCUUCUGCUCCUUCACCUUCGCCAUUUCAGCAGAGUUUAGAGAGCUCAAUUUCUUUUAGUAAAGAAAACCAGCAUGGACGGACUGCAGAUGUUCAGGCCCAUAAAGUUGCUCGUUUUUCUUCAUCAGCUAGUGUUGGUGCUGCCAUUGUUGAAGCAGAGAACAGUCUGGAAAUAGAAGUAAACGAAAAUAAGGAAGAUUUGAAAACUAAGCUUAAGGAGAUACUUCGCGAGAAGAAUGAUGUUUUUAACUCAAAAAAUCCAGAAGAAGACAAGGUAAAAUUGGGAGAACCAGGGUGGAAGGAAAGGUAUUAUGAAGAAAAAUUUUCUGCAAAAACUCCUGAGGAACUUGAAAACAUACGGAAAGAUGUUGUUUUGAGGUACACUGAAGGGCUAUGUUGGGUCAUGCACUAUUACUAUGAAGGAGUUUGUUCUUGGCAGUGGUUUUAUCCCUAUCAUUAUGCACCCUUUGCUUCUGAUCUCAAAGAUCUAGAUCAGAUGAAGAUUGAUUUUGAACUGGGCUCCCCAUUCAAACCAUUCGAUCAGCUUAUGGGAGUUUUUCCUGCUGCAAGUGCCCAUGCUCUUCCUGUGCAUUAUAGAAAGUUGAUGACUGAUCCAAAUUCACCUAUUAUUGAUUUUUACCCUACUGAUUUUGAAGUGGACAUGAAUGGAAAGCGGUAUGCAUGGCAGGGUAUUGCAAAGUUGCCCUUCAUUGAUGAGGCUCGGCUUCUUGCGGAGGUCAAUAAGAUUGAACAUACGCUAACGGAGGAGGAAGCAAGGAGAAACAGUAUGAUGUUUGACAUGCUUUUUGUGUUAUCAUCUCAUUCUCUUGCUGAGAGUAUAUAUUUACUUG
rnacentral:misc_RNA from 1 species